rnacentral:rRNA from 1 species
GAUGAACGCUAGCUACAGGCUUAACACAUGCAAGUCGAGGGGAAACGAUAUUGGAAGCUUGCUUCCGAUAGGCGUCGACCGGCGCACGGGUGAGUAACGCGUAUCCAACCUGCCCAUCACUUGGGGAUAACCUUGCGAAAGUAAGACUAAUACCCAAUGAUAUCUCUAGAAGACAUCUGAAAGAGAUUAAAGAUUUAUCGGUGAUGGAUGGGGAUGCGUCUGAUUAGCUUGUUGGCGGGGUAACGGCCCACCAAGGCGACGAUCAGUAGGGUUCUGAGAGGAAGGUCCCCCACAUUGGAACUGAGACACGGUCCAAACUCCUACGGGAGGCAGCAGUGAGGAAUAUUGGUCAAUGGGCGAGAGCCUGAACCAGCCAAGUAGCGUGCAGGAUGACGGCCCUAUGGGUUGUAAACUGCUUUUAUAAGGGAAUAAAGUGAGUCUCGUGAGACUUUUUGCAUGUACCUUAUGAAUAAGGACCGGCUAAUUCCGUGCCAGCAGCCGCGGUAA